rnacentral:rRNA from 1 species
UACGUAGGCAGCGAGCGUUGUUCGGAGUUACUGGGCGUAAAGGGUGUGUAGGCGGUUGUUUAAGUUUGGUGUGAAAUCUCCCGGCUCAACUGGGAGGGUGCGCCGAAUACUGAAUGACUUGGAGUGCGGGAGAGGAGAGUGGAAUUCCUGGUGUAGCGGUGAAAUGCGUAGAGAUCGGGAGGAACACCAGUGGCGAAGGCGGCUACCUGGACCAGCACUGACACUGAGGCACGAAAGCGUGGGGAGCAAACAGG